UCAUCAAACAGUUCAUUAGCAAGUGCUCGAGCAUCAUCAGUUGCUGCUGCUUAUAAUCGUUUAGUAAUCACAUCCAUCAAUCCAUCUGAAUCCCAUCAAGAACCAGAUCCUGAUGAUUCUAUGGAACUUAUUGAGCAAAAUUACGAACCUGACCCUGAUGCUUCUAUUGAUAUCAUUGAACAAAAUUAUGAACCUGACCCUGAUGCUUCUAUUGAUAUCAUUGAACAAAAUUACGAACCUGACCCUGAUGCUUCUAUUGCUAUCAUUGAACAAAAUUACGAACCUGACCCUGAUGAAAAUGAAGUGGUUCAAAAACAAGAACCUGAUCCAGAUGAUAGUGUAAAUGAACCUAUGGAGUCUGAAAUCAGAAUUACUUGUGAAAAAAUUGAGGGGAAUUUUAAUUUUGUUUCUGAAAAUGAAAUGAAGAUGGAAAGCAAUGAAUUUGAGCCAGAUCCUGAUGAUGAAGAGCUUCAAAGAAUUCAAGAUCCUGUAAUGGUGGCAUGUAAUCGAUUGAAAAAGUCGAUUCAG
rnacentral:lncRNA from 1 species